AUGGCGGUUUCAGCUGUAGGGCAGCACUCAAAGUCUUCGUGGAGGAUGGAGGCUUGCUUCCGACAGGACGAGGAUAAUGAUGAAGAAACAGACCACCUGGCACCCUCACCAGAGCCCAAACCAUGGAUUGCAGGAAGAAGGCAUAGUUUCCAGAGGGCAGCACUGCUGGCUUUGCUAGUAGGCAAGACAAGCUUCUGCCUCGCAGCUCUAUGGUUUGCCAUCUGCACUGUUAAGGAAGGAGAGGAGAUGGGGAGUGACAGGCCGACCCUCUAGGUGGUAAGUGUCUCUGCACAGAGAAGGCACUGGGGAUGAACAGAGAGAGCUGAGGAAACCUUGGGGUGAUCUACUGCACAGGAGGUUCUUCCUAAGGCAAUUGCUCCCCUCCCAACCCUCUCUUGCUCUGGGAUGCUCCACCAGAUGCCUCAAGACAUGUGUGGAAGUGUUGUGGGGUGAUCUUAAUUGCCACUGAUGCUGUGUUUCAGCUGAUAUGCCCAGAUGUCUUCUGAGGACCUGGACUGCCUACUCACUCCCACAUUUCCAGUGAGCCUGACACCUGCAGCUCAGUAGUACCCAAAGCUACUGUGAUUUGCAGUCUGCAAUGGCCACUUUUCCAUCAUCUUUGUGAUAGUGUCUUGUUGCUGGGGUGCCCUCGUGCCCUUCCUAAACAGAUCAUCCUCCUUCCCUUGGGAUCCAUCACGGCCCUGCCCUUCCUCUCCUGAACCAUGAUGCCCUCUCUUGCCCUGGGUCGGUGAUCUCUUCUCAGCUUGUUUGCAUGGAGAAUGGCUCUUUUCACACCUUUAUAGAGCUCAUACGUUGUCUCCCAGUGGACACAGAGGUGAUGAGAAGAGAACAUGAGGGUUUGCCAGGGAAGGAGGAGAGAAAGAGAGCAAGAAAAAAGAGGAAACGUGAUUCUGAACACGUGCACCAGAGGAAAUGGAUACAGGACUGCGCCUCUGGCUGUUGAUGCACAGACCUGCUCUGUGCUCAGCCUCUGAGAGCAGCACCUUUCCCUUACAAAGCAGAGUGGAUCAUUUGAAUGAUGGAUGUCUCUGAAGCAUUUGAUCAUGUGAAUGCAGGGAUGCCUCUAAGUGUCAUUUCCCUCCGUGGGGUGAAAUGGGCUUUGAUCAUAACUAAUUUGGCUAUGUGAUCAUACUGCUUGUGUACAGACUCUGGUUGUGCAUCAAAGUGGCUAAUUAGAAGCCAGUGCCUUUGAUGCGGGGGUGUCCUGUUAGCUGAACAUGGUGGGUUAGAGCGCUAACUCCUGCUGGCACUG
rnacentral:lncRNA from 1 species